CUUGGGUUCUUGAUGCAGGGUGAGAAUCCACAUUUCUGUCCCAGGUCUCACCCAGCCCAGCCUCCCGUCAUGUACUUACCUCUGGCCCAGGCCCUGAAAAGAAGCCCCAUUGUGACCCAUCCCCUAGGAUGUCAUAGGGCCAAAGCCCAUCACAGACACUCCCAGCCCUACCCUCGCUCUGCAGCUCACAGCUGUCCCUGGCAGCCAGAGCCUUGACAGCCUCAAAGGACAGACCCACUUGGCAGGACAGAGGCAAUGCCAGCCAGCUCCAAGACAGACCCACCACUGGCAAGGCCAAGCCCAUCAGUGAUGGUAGUAGCACCUCAGGAAAACAUAUUUAAGAAGGGGGAAAAAAACUUGUGCAACACCAGCAGCUAGGAAAUAGAAGUGAGAAUAUGGAAGAGAAACAACACUGCAGACCUCCACAUCAGAGAAGGAGGGGGAGUAGGCGGAGGAGGGGCUCCAGGCAGCAGGGCAAAGAUUCCCCUGCAGUCCAUAGUAAAGACCAUGGUGAGUCAAGAUGUGGCCCUGCAGCCCAUGGAAGUCCGUGGUGGAGCAGACAGACACCUGCAGCCUGUGGAUAUGCCUGAAGGAGGCUUUGACUCCACGGGAAGUCCAUGCUGGAAGAGGCAACAGGGUAUAGAGUCUUCCCCUAAGCAGGAAGGAGUGACAUUCUCCAGAACCCCCAUUCCCCUAUUUGCUCUGCUCCAUGUUUUUGAGAAUCUUGUAUUUUCUACCUUUGAAAACAUAAAACCUAAAUUGAAAUUAA